GCCGGAGUGGUGGAAUUGGCAGACGCGCUGGACUCAAAAUCCUGUGAGGUAACACUCGUGUCGGUUCGACUCCGACCUUCGGCACCA
rnacentral:tRNA from 1 species